AGCAUUGCAGUGUCAGAAGCAGAGUUCAAAGGAUAAAAGUGAUUGCUAUUAAGAGAAAACAAGGCUACCAAGUCUCCAUGAGCAUCUUGGAGCAGGUGAGGUUUCAUUAAACUGUGUGAGAUAGCAAAGAUUGAGACAUUGUGAAAAGGGUAAGGAUGGCAGCAGUUAUUCUAAGCAAGGAGGAUGUCUUGAGUUACAAAAUAAAUUCUAGCCUGAGUAAAAGGUUCCCCCUUGAGGAGAAGAUAAAAAAGGCUGGAGUAGGUCGGGGUUGGACCGUUGAAGACCUUGGAUGGCAGCCCAGGACUUCAGCCUUGUGACUGAGGCCCCAACAGGAAGAAGUGAGUGCCUGGUGGUUGUAUGAGCAGAAGAGGCAGAAGCAAUGGGAGUGGAGCCUAGAGAAGAGACCGAAGGACUCUUGCAGGCAGAGCCUGUACCAAUGUGAGGUGAGUUUGAAUCAAGCUGGAAGAAGAGGAAGGAUCACUCAAGGGCCACCACCAUGGAAGCAGUCCUGAUGCCACACUUCCAGCCCCCUGAGGACAACUGGACCAUAAAAGGAGUGGUGAGGAAGGAGAGGGUUGGCAGUGGCAUGCCAGUGUCUGCUCUGCUUCUGCUCUGGCUUCCCUGGUCAAAAUCUCAAGAGGCACUGGUCUACCAUGGAAACGACCCAUCAGGGAACAUAGAAGAAAAGACCAGCUAUACAGUUAAAAUGACCUCAGUGGAGGCUGACACAACGCAGAGCUUGAAAAUAAUGCUUGGGCUCUGCUCACCAUUUCUAUUGAGAAGCAUGAAACUCACUUGCCCUGGAGUUACACACACAGUCAUAGAUCUGUGACCAAAACCCAUCCGCUGGAGAAUGGAAUGCUUCUGGGGUUUUCUUCCCAAGUAAUUCUUAGCAUGGCUGAAGGCUCUAGUUGUCCCUAAAGAAAUUCUGUCAUCUGGGCUCUGGCAAAGGGCCUCUGUGAAAACACACCCCCAAGGAAACAAACCUGUUCUGCAGGAACUUUCUGGUUUCAGUGGUUUUGAAUAUCCCUGUCACAGCUCAGAGACAGUAGCAACGGGACACAGCAGCCAUUCUUUGUACCUCAAACUCCUCUAUCUGGGCUUUGCUUAUAAAAUAAAAUGCUGAAAUCCAUAAAAUGCUGUAACA
rnacentral:lncRNA from 1 species